CUUAAAGAGAAAAUCCGAGAAUAUGAACAGACACUGAAGAACCAAGCCGAAACCAUAGCUCUUGAGAAGGAACAGAAGUUACAGAAUGACUUUGCAGAAAAGGAGAGAAAGCUGCAGGAGACACAGAUGUCCACCACCUCAAAGCUGGAGGAAGCUGAGCAUAAGGUUCAGAGCCUACAAACAGCCCUGGAAAAAACUCGAACAGAAUUAUUUGACCUGAAAACCAAAUACGAUGAAGAAACUACUGCAAAAAGUGGCAGAGGAGAAAGUGACUUGCCUCACGCUGCCCGGUUCCACCCAGGGACCUUGUGAAGAGACGCGGGAAGGCUGGCAGAAAGGAGAACCGUCCUUCCUGUGGAAUACUCCCGAGAUCGCACCACUCCACUCCAGCCUGGGUGACAAGAGCAAAACUCCAUCUCAAAAAAAAAAAAAAAAAGGCACUGUACAUGUGUCCAUGUAUAUAAACAUGUUUAUGAAUAUACAUAAAUAAUUUUUUAAAAAA
rnacentral:lncRNA from 10 species